rnacentral:lncRNA from 1 species
AUGCUUUUUUCAGUCCAUUAUCUACAACCGACAUCAGUUUCUAAGCUGCCCUUAUUCAGACACACUGGUGCCACCUUGCUAAGCAACCAAGCCCAGACAAGGCUCAAAUGCACUGCUGCAACUUCUGUGUCGUGGGCCCUUCCUGUCCCAUGUUUCCCAAGGAAAGACAAGUCUUCCUUUCCUGGAUACAGAUCUGAGGAUUGUGGUUUCUUAUUAAAUAUCAUUUAUUUUUAUGCCAUCCAUAUAACUAUCCUUCAAAUAAAGGAGAAAUGCUAACCCAUAGGCAUCAAAGUGUCAUCAUCCUUUUCUUCAUUUUAUUCUUUUCUUUUUUUUUUUUUUUUUUUUUUUGAGACAGAGUCUUGCUCUGUCACCUAGGCUGGACUGCAGUGGCACAAUCUCGGCUCACUGCACCCUCUGCCCCCCCGGUUCAAGCAAUUCUCCUACCUCAGCCUCUUGAGUAG